rnacentral:rRNA from 1 species
AUUGAACGCUGGCGGCAGGCCUAACACAUGCAAGUCGAGCGGAUGAGAGGAGCUUGCUUCUCGAUUCAGCGGCGGACGGGUGAGUAAUGCCUAGGAAUCUGCCUGGUAGUGGGGGACAACGUUUCGAAAGGAACGCUAAUACCGCAUACGUCCUACGGGAGAAAGCAGGGGACCUUCGGGCCUUGCGCUAUCAGAUGAGCCUAGGUCGGAUUAGCUAGUUGGUGAGGUAAUGGCUCACCAAGGCGACGAUCCGUAACUGGUCUGAGAGGAUGAUCAGUCACGCUGGAACUGGGACACGGUCCAGACUCCUACGGGAGGCAGCAUUGGGGAAUAUUGGACAAUGGGCGAAAGCCUGAUCCAGCCAUGCCGCGUGUGUGAAGAAGGUCUUCGGAUUGUAAAGCACUUUAAGUUGGGAGGAAGGGUUGUAGAUUAAUACUCUGCAAUUUUGACGUUACCGACAGAAUAAGCACCGGCUAACUCUGUGCCAGCCGCCGCGGUAAAAC